rnacentral:rRNA from 1 species
CCUACGGGUGGCAGCAGUGGGGAAUAUUGGACAAUGGGCGAAAGCCUGAUCCAGCCAUGCCGCGUGUGUGAAGAAGGCCUUCGGGUUGUAAAGCACUUUCAGUGGGGAAGAAAGCCUUGGGGCUAAUACCCUCGAGGAAGGACAUCACCCACAGAAGAAGCACCGGCUAACUCCGUGCCAGCAGCCGCGGUAAUACGGAGGGUGCGAGCGUUAAUCGGAAUUACUGGGCGUAAAGCGCGCGUAGGCGGUCUGAUAAGCCGGUUGUGAAAGCCCCGGGCUCAACCUGGGAACGGCAUCCGGAACUGUCAGGCUUGAGUGCAGGAGAGGAAGGUAGAAUUCCCGGUGUAGCGGUGAAAUGCGUAGAGAUCGGGAGGAAUACCAGUGGCGAAGGCGGCCUUCUGGAAUGACACUGACGCUGAGGGGCGAAAGCGUGGGUAGCAAACAGGAUUAGAUACCCGUGUAGUC